GGUGCGGCGCGCGGGCCCUCCUCCCGCACGGGCGGCCCUGGAAGCGGGUCUCAGGCCCUGGGUUUGCAGGUUCUUGAGACCCUUCCUGCUUCGGCUUCAGGGCGCCUUAGCGGUCCAGCUUUUGCCCUUCGCGCGGCCCGGCGGUAACAGGUUAGCAUCCCUGAGGCGUCCUCUUCCCGUUGGCUGCGUGGGAGCCGUCCGCUCUCCUAGGCAAGCCGGCGGCGCUAAGUACUGCCCUCCCGGAGACCCCGGCUCCACCCACUCUACCUGAGGGGCAGAAAGGGCCUAGGAGGCUUCAUCGUGGUGUGUACCGUGGUGUGCGGUAUUGUAGAAGGAGCGCUGUGUUCCAGCCUUCGCUGCCUCCCCUGUAAAGUAGGGAUAACGAAGUAACACAUGUGUUAAGAAUCCAUGCGCAAUAAAUGCCUGAUAGACUGAGUGGAGACACACACAGCCCGGCCUUUCUUGAUUCAGGCUGAUGCAGUGGCCGACCAGACGUUCCCCCCCCCCUUUAAUUCUGUGGAGGAAGUUUUGGGUUACCUUACUCCCCACUAUUUGUUCUCAAACAUCUCUAAAGAGAAGCCUGCAUAAAAUUAGGAAUUGGAGCACCCUCAGCCCACACACAUCUGCUCCUAGAGCCGUUCUUGUCAGGUAGUUUGUUACUUUGGUGGCCCCGCUGAAGCUUGCCUCGUCACAGUACAACCUUAUGUGGUUGUCGACCCCGGAACCUGGACUGGACCUGUGACUCGUUUUAACCAAUGGAAGAAUGUGGCAGAAGUGACUGUGCCAAUUACAGAUAUGAGCUUUGAGAAUACCUGGUAACCUUGAUAAUCCCGAGCUGCUCACAGAGACCACAUGGAGAGGGAAAGGCCCUGAGACUACAUGGAGGAAAACUAAGGACCCAGUUAUCACCAAAAACUGAGGUCCCAGACACGUGAACCUGAUGAACCUAACUCAGCUGAGGGACCAGUCAUUGAGGAGAGAAGCCAUCUAGGUUGUUCCAGCCAUCUGAGCAAUCCUCAUUACCUAAAAUAGAGCUCCAGAAGCAUGUCUGUUGGACUCCUCACACCUUAUCACCAACACUCUGUGGCUGUUGUACCUGAAAUCCCAUGCCAUCUUUUUCUCCACUAGGCCUUUCAAGUGGCCACUACCACCUGGAAAUUUUAAUGGCAAUGGCAAAGAAUUCCAAUGGCAAAGAAUUCCUGGAACUGCUGUAACUGCAUGGCCAAGGAGUGGACCAUUUCAAAAUAUGGUGCAUUUGCAUAACUUCUUAAGAAGACGCCUGUGUAACUAAGCAACCAAGUAUGUUUUCUCGAAGCUACAGUGAGCUCAAAAAUAUACCACCUUGCAGUUGUUUUGCUUCCUUCCCCUUGUCUCUAACUUUUGCUUUGGGAUAGCACCUCUCAUUAAGACUGUACCAUGACACCUUUGCCUCUUGCUCUGUUCUCAAGGAAAUCCAGGCAAGAAAAUUUCCCAGGAUCUUCUCCUUCAGAAAGGUAAAAAGCAGUGCUGGGAAUUUAUGUAUAAUAAGCAUUCCAGGUGAGUCUUAUGAUCGGACAGGUAUGGCUGACAUGACCUUAAAGCAUCCUCAGGCUUCAGAUCUCACAUCAACAGGAAAUGAGCUGCUCACGUUGUGCAGAAUUCAGAAGAGGAAUCCGUGCUGGGAACCCUUUAGAUGUGGCCCUGCAGGACGUUGAACAAGAGAGAUGAGCACAGAGAGUAGCCUGGAGGCAGUGAGAUGGACUGAGCAAGGAUGUUGUCUGCUGUCAAACCAAAGAGCACUUGCUGCUCCUGUCUUGCAGGGCGGUAGUGUGCACUGUGAACUGGUGGUUACCUCUUGAUGGUCUCUCUCUCUCUCCUGUUUCAGGUGUGAGUUUUUAUUGAGUGAGGUCUUCCAUCCUUCUUCCAGCAAUUUGUUUGUGAGUGUUAUUUAUAUGUUGCUGGAUGAUGGGGAGCCACAUCUGGACCUAAAUUAGAAGAAUGCAGCUAGCUUACAACUAAAGGAACCUCCCCCCACCCCCAAACACACACACACACACACCCACACACACACACACACACACACACAUCUUCUUGCAGCAGACAGGGCAUGACUUGAGCAUUUCUGUUUGGGGAAGGGAUGUUCUAAUUUCUGUGCCCCCAGAAGCCUAUCCUGAGACAAAGACUUGAAUGCAAGUAAUUUAUUUGGGAGAUUUAAAAAAUAUAUACUGGUAGAGGGGUGCGUGGGUGGCUCAGUCAGUUAAGUGUCUGCCUUCAGCUCAAGUCAUGAUCUUGGGGUCCUGGGGUCAAGCCCCAUGUUGGGCUCCCUGCUCAAUGGGGAGUCUCCUUCUCCCUCUCUCUCUGCCCCUGCUCCUGUUCUCUCUCUCUCUCUCUCAAAUAAAGAAAAUCUUUUUAAAAAAUACUGGUAGAGGAGUGGGAAAGUGAGAGAAAGUAAGGCAACCAUUAUAGGGUGCAUUAUCAAGUCAGUUACCAUUGUGUAUGGUUGGGACUUCAUCCCAUGGGAAACUCUGGGAACCAGUGUUGAACAUGUGCUACAGUGUUAAUCCACUACAAGGAGUCAGGGAGCUGGGGUGUCCAUACAUCAAGUCCCAUCAGUCAUUGGUUGAGAGGAGCUCCCAGGGAGGAAGACAUAUUAAUUCCUCUGCACUUGUGGCCUGCUGUGUGACAGAGACAAAGUCGGGAAGAAUCCGAGAAAGCCAUUUUAUAAAGAAGCGCGCAUGCUGGCAGCUGGAAACCGGGCCAGUAUGCACAAGAGUGGUAAGGAUAAGGGGAUAUGGGCAAGGCAGCGACAGCAUCUGCUGCAAGAACUCAGACGGUCUCUGGCCACUGAUCCACCAGCUAUUACCUUAAAUGGGGAUAUUCAUUUAAAUUGUAGGCCCAUAUGUGAGUGCUGGCCAGUUAAAGAAGUAAAAUGCAAACAGUAUCUGAUCCUGCUUUUUAGAAUUGCCCUUCUCCCAUUCCAUAUGAUUCUGGGGGGACUUUCCCUCAAAAGGCCUCUCUCCCCUGUCAUAGGGCAUACAAAUAACCCCAGCAGACAAGUCAUUGGAGUUAUUGUAGUAGAUACUUUUGGUGCCCCCGUCAGAUCCCCUUUACUGGCCAGUGCACCCAUCCUGCAAUUAAGGUGAGUGUUGCCACAAGAGGCUGACAGCUGCAUUUUUCUUCAGAGAAUUGCCCUCAGGAGGAAGGGGCCAAUUUGGCUGGGAUAUUACCCCCUCCCACCAGGGAGCGUUCCACAUCUAAAAGGAGAUACAAAAGACAGCUCCUCUGUCUCAUGGGAAGGUGGGGUGGACAAUUCUGCAGUGCAGUUUUUGCAUCAGAACUCCCCCAAGACAUCAGCUGGAUCCUCACCUUUGCAGUUUCUUCCCUGAGCUCCCCUGCUUCCCUUGCUCCCUUAUAGGAUUUUCCUGAGAGCACUCCUCAGUUACUCAGGGGCAAGUCUCAGGCUCUGCUUCUUGGAUGCCCAGCUAGGACCCAUUCAGUGGGACGCAAUGAUGAAUUGGCCCAAAGGAAGACACAUGGCCCCAGCAUAGCUGUAGCCUUUGGGGAUAUCUUGGAAAGCAGAUCUGUCUUUCUUUAAGGUUAUGAGCUGUUUGUAAGAACGCUGUAGUAGAUACAUGUUCACUCCCUGAAGUGUACUUCACUCUACUUCUGGUAAUAUUACAUUGAUUUUGGAGGAAGGGAGAAAGAACUACUUCUUUCCCUUAUUCUCAGUUCUUCUUCUUCUUUAUUUAUCUCAUUUUUUUUACAUAUAACAAUCUCAAAGCCUUUUAUUAAUUCUCUGGGAUCUCAGAUGUUUAUCUAUGCUUUACAUCUUAUGAUAUACCUAUUUCUGCUAUGGUAGUUUCUAUGGUUCUAAUUUGAGCUCAAAAGCAAAAAUGAACUAAUAUUUUAGAAAUAAUAUGACAAAAAAAGCAUAACCUGAUUUAUCUCAACUUUAUAUUACUUUUUUCAAAAAUUUUCAAUUUUGACAUCCUUCCUGUCCCUUGUAGAAAUACAUUUUAAUUUUUUUGAAAUGGAAUAUUUUCUGAUUUUCUGAUUAAAAAUCAACUGAUUUUCAUAAUUAAAAGUUUUAAUGGAAAGUUUUGAAGGAUAAUGUGGAAGUUCUCAUUGACACCUCUACUACCAGAUAUCUACUAUUAACACAUAGAUUAGUGUUUUCAUGCAUAUGCAGAUCUAUACAUAUAAGUACUUAUAUUUUCAACAAAAUGAAAAUAAUCUAAAUCUCUGCAUGUAUAUUUAAAAACCAAUAUUAUUUUAAUAAGUUUUUUUUUACAGUUAUUAUUCUGUAGAUUUGAGUUUAGUCAGGAAAAAAAUGGGUAUUUUAAGCUGGUGGUUUGCAGCUCUUGGAGUAGGGGGUUGGAAAAAGAUCUAAACUUAUAAUUUCAUUACACGUUAUUCUCAGUUCUUCUACUUUGGGUGAAGGUGACUUCUUUUUGGGUCCAUAGAUGGGCAUAUGACCCACUGUAACCAAUCACAUUCAAUGGCCACAGAGAUUUUUUGGGGUGGUCUUGUGACCCAGUCAGAGCCACUGAAAUAUGGCUUGAGAGAGAAAAAUUAUUUUCCCCCCUGGUUAGAGCAUCAAGGAUGAAGGGAACCUAGGGCUACCUGGGAGGCCAUCAUGAGGAACCUGAGUAUAAAACCAACACAGCAGAAGGCAGGAAGGGUGAAAUGAGUCCUACUUUGACAAUGUUUGAACUCUUGAUUCAAGCUCCGCUCAAGGACAGUCUUACCUUAGAUUAUACCUCUUCGAUUUCACAGGCUAAUGAGCUCUCUUUCUUGUUUAAACCAGUUUGGGUUGGGUUUUAUAACACUUAAAACCAAAGCAGUUAUGACAGAUGCAAUGAUGAUAAGCCUGCAGCUACAAGAAAACAUAUUGCUACCAUGUGCAGAGACCCUGGGUGACAAUGAAACCUACACAUAAAAAAGAACUAAGAGAGGGAGAGAGAACAAGCAUUUGUGGGCAUAUCUAAGCACGGGGAUCCUGCCAUUCCUGGAGCAUAUUUUUCCUUUGGGUUCUCAGUUAUUUGAACCAACAAAUUCACUUUGCUUAAAGGAAUAAGAGUUAAGCUUUUUAACUUUCAAAGGAAAGAGUUUUGACUAACACAAUACCUUUUUCUCAAUUUUCCUUUGAGUCAUUUUGUUUUUUCUUUAUUGAGUUGCAGUCACUCUUUAUAUAUUUUAGACAUUGAUCUUUUGCCCAUUGUUUACUGUAAAUAAUUUAUUCCAAUCCACCACUUGUCUUUACUUUGUUUAUGAUAUUUCUCAUUAUCUAGAAGAUUGUAGUUUUAUCGGGUCUAGAUCAACUAACCUUUAUCAUUUUUGGAUUAUUAAACAUGAUUCCUUUGGUUGAGAGUGUUGGAAACCCAACUCAAUUUAGUUCAAAUAAAAAGACAAUUUAUUGGCUAACAAAAUUUGAAAUUCUAGUUGUAUUUGGUCCUGAGCCACAACUAGAAUCAUAAUUCCAACAAUGUCAUUAAGAUAAUUUCUCUCUUAGUCUAUGAGUUCUCUGGGCUUCUUUCCUAUUAAAGCUCCCUUUGCCUUGUUGGAAACAUGGCCUAUAUUCUUGCAUUUGAUGGUUCCAACGAAGAGAGGAAGAGCGUGUGAUGGUUUAGGCAUAGGAAUCCCGGUAGAGCCUGUUAACCUGUUAUGGGCACUCUGACCAAUAUGUAUUAUUUAUCGAUUCCUGUGUCUGAUGGCUGGAUCAGUCAUGUCAAACUAUCCAGAAUGUGUUCCACAUGGGUUGUAUGAGUUUUGUUAUGGGAGAAUGAAGGAAAGGAAAACCUGGUAAGCAUAGAGUAGCUAUCAACUCUGCCUCUUGUGUCUUGUUUGUGAAAACUUUCUCCCCAAAUGGUUCUAUAUAUUUAUAUGUGUAUGUGUGUGUAUUUAUACCUUUUUAAUUCUCUCAUAUUUUUUACUUUUAAAAAAUAUGUGGGGUACCAGGCUGGCUCAGUCAGUGGAGCACGUGACUCGAUGGGUUGUGGGUUCAAACCCCACAUUGGGUGUAGAGAUUACUUAAAAAUAAAAUCUUUAAAAAAAUGUGUAUUUUUACUUUAGACCUAUAUUCCACCUAGAAAGUACCCUUAUUGAUGGCACAAGGUAGGAAAUCUAACUUAAUUUUUUCCCAUAUGUAAAACCUAUUAUCUCAAAACCAUAUGUUGGGUUUCCCCACCAGUUAGAAAUGACACAUACAUUUCAAACUGAAUUCUACAUUUAUGUGAGUCUGUUUCUCGACUAGGCAUUGCUCCAUGAUCUGGCUUUCUAUUUCUGUAACAAUACAAUGUUGUUCAAAUAACAGUUAACUUCUUUGGGUGGUACUGUUUCUUUGCUUGGUAUUAAACAACUUCUAACAGGCAUGUUUUGGGCUAUUCACUUUGCUCCUAUUCUUCAUUAAUCUGAUUCUAUCAAUUUUUUUUAGAUCUAUUCAAUAAUUUUAAAUUUCAUUUUAAAUUGUUAAUUUUUAGCAAUGCAACAAAUGAAAAUGGUUUAAAAGGUAAAAUAGCAUUACAAAGCUCAUAAUGAAAAGCAUAACCCCCCUUCCUGAUCCCACCCAACCCGCAUGCUGAAAUUAUUUUGCCUGGUAUUUAUAUCCUUCUUUUUUUUAAAGAUUUUAUUUAGGGAGAGAGAGAGAGAGAGAGAGAGCACGCGCACAAGCAGGGGAAGGGGCAGAGGGAGAGGGAGAAGUAGA